rnacentral:rRNA from 1 species
AAUUUGGCACAAUGGGGGAAACCCUGAUCCAGCAAGGCCGCGUGCAGGAUGAAGGCCUUCGGGUUGUAAACUGCUUUUGGAGGGAACGAAAAGUCUUAGGCUAAUACCCUGGGAGCAUGACGGUACCGUAAGAAUAAGCACCGGCUAACUACGUUCCAGCAGCCGCGGUAAUACGUAGGGUGCAAGCGUUAAUCGGAAUUACUGGGCGUAAAGCGUGCGCAGGCGGUUGUGUAAGACAGUGGUGAAAACCCAGGGCUCAACCUGGGAACUGCGAUUGUGACUGGAAAGCUGGAGUGCGGCAGAGGGGGGUGGAAUUCCGAGUGUAGCAGUGAAAUGCGUAGAUAUGAGGAGGAACACCGAUGGCGAAGGCAGUCCCCUGGGACUGCACUGACGCUCAUGCACGAAAGCGUGGGGAGCAAACAGG